CACCAGGCAACGAACAGCUCAGGGAGGAUCAUCGGGGAGGAUGCACACAAUGCUUACAUCUUUUGUCCUGAGUCACUGAAUUUCAGGAGGCAACCGAAGAUUCCACCAGCUUCAGAUUCUGAAUCUGCAACCCAACCCAUCUCUCCAGUGAGCAGAGUUAAACUGCACCCCUGGGAGGAAGUGAGACUAGAAAUAAUAGAAGUGGAAAUCAGAAUUGGCAUAGAGAUCAUGAACAAAGCCAAUUGAGAGCCACAGAUUUGCCACUUCUGUAAAUAUUUACAGACAGAAUAUUAUUCAACUCAAGCUAAAGUGAAAACACCAAUGAUGCUUGAAGCCUCUUUUGGCCUUAGGUGUGAUCAGAGCCCUCAGUGACCAGGACCUUCAUAUUCACGUGAGACUGGUUUUGAACAAAUGCUUUUGCAAGAAGCACAGGGCGUGCUGCGUGGAGGAAGUACAAUGACGAUGGGGUUCGUUCUUCUUGGAAUGAUCAAGGGAGGGGAAUGCAGUCUGGCUCUUCUCUGCAUAAUACAUUUUUAUCUCAGGUCACAGUAACUCCCAUAAAAGUUUAUUUCCCCUAAAAUGUUACAAAAAUAUUUAUUUCUCAUCUCAUAUUUAUUUCUUAACUCCUAAACAAGUUUUGAAUUCAGAGCCAAGUAUAUUUGAUUUUGAACUUUGAGCUUACUUCUUUGGGCUUUGGAGAUGGUGAAAACACCAUGCAAAUUUCCAAGUCCUUGAGAUCCCCUUAGUCUUUUAAAGUUCUUUUGGACACUGGGGCCUGAGCAAGGCUUGUUACUCAUUUGGCGUGGGGAGGGCUUGGAGUCCUUCACUGAGUACUUCACUCUAUGACCUUUACCUCAGCUUUGGCUCUGUCUCCAAGAAUGUUUAGGCUGUUCAGACAGGACCCAGAAGGCCUGUGUCCAUGCAGUGAUCUGAAGCGCCUUGCCUGCCUGCUGACCUGGGUGCACCCAACUGCAGCCAGCUCUUUGCAUUUGCAGAGCGUGCCUUGCCUGUACUUGGUCAUGGUGCCCUUGAAAACACCGAGUUCCUCCAGUGUGGAAUGGAACUUUUUGUUCUUUGUUGUCCCUCCUCCCCAGACUAUGUCACCUGACUGGAAGCAUUAGGUACAAGGGCGGAGAAUCCCCUGCACGGAUGACUGUCCCUCAGUCACCAUUUCUCACUGAGAAGAGUCUCCAGGACCCUUAGAUAUCUUGCUGCAGUCUUUGCAGAGUGCUGGGUGGAGCAGUUGUGAACGGGUUCGAUUACCUUCAUCAGCUGAUCUUCAUUUCUGCAAAGUCAUUGUGGAGACCAGGCAAAUGGACAUAAGUGGGACAAGAGGUGUCUCACCACCGGAGCUCCAUCAGAAUUGCUCUGUGCUCAGCGUUUCUUUGAGGACUGUGCCUGUGGCAGCACCUUCUUUCCAGAGCUUCCUGCAGGGAACUUGGAAUGCUUUGGGGAAGAAACUCAUAGACUAUGAAGAACUUUUCCUCCUUUUUGAACUUGCAUUUAUUUACUGGCUGUGCUGGGUCUUCAUUGCUGCAAGAGCGUUUCUCUAGCUGCGGUGCGCAGGAUUCUCAUUGCUGUGGCUUCUCUUCUUGUGGUGCCUGGGCUCCAGAACACACAGGCUUUAGCAGUGCGGGCUGCAGUGUGGGCUCUAGAGCUCUGGUGCAGUAGCUGUGGCACACAGGCUUAGCUGCUCUGUGGCAGGUGGGACCCUCCUGGACCAGGGAUUGAAUUUAUGUCUCCUGCAUUGGGAGGCAGAUUCUUUAUCACUGAGCCAUCAGGGAAGUCCCUUUCCCUCCUUUUUAAAAUAUGGCUCACAGACUAUAUUUUAAAAGGAGCAGCCCCAGUGGCUCAGAUGGUAGAAUCUGCCUGCGGUGCAGGAGACACAGGUUUAAUCCCUGGGUUGGGAAGAUCCCUGGAGAAGGGAAUGGCAACCCACUCUAGUAUUCUUGGCUGGAGAAUUCCAUGGACAGAAGAGUCUGGCAGGCUAUAGUUCAUUGGGUCGCAAAGAGUCAGACAUGGCUGAGCAGCUAACACACACACACACACCAUUACCAUCUAUUUCAAAAAAUAAACCAUCCAUCCGAGUGGAAUUUUAAACAUAGCAAGGUAUCAUACAUGUAUUUUUGUUUCUUUCUGUUGUGAAAUUAUACCCAUUCAGAAAAGUUCAGAAAAC
ensembl:lncRNA